UCCCAGGAUUGUUUUCCAAGGACAAUUUACAGUACCCAUUGUUGGCUUUUCCUCUGGGUAAUUAGACACAACAUGGGAGCAAGGGAUCCUCAUUCAUCUUGUCACUGGGUUUUAAUUUUCUUGGUCCUUCAGCUCCCAGCUGCCCUGGCAGAUGUUCUGUCCACAAGUUCCAGGAAGUUCAGCAAUGCUUCUUCUGCACUACUUUCACCCAGAGCUGACAUGGUCUCUGCAGUGAUCCCAGGAGCACCCUUAAUGAUGCUGAAGAAGAAAGAGUUAAAAGAUGAGACAAAAAAUAAAACAGCAUGUAAGCAUCUCUGCAGUUGCUGUCCCCAGAGCCCACUUCCUGGAUAUUGCCAGCUGCCUGGACCAACCUUUCCGAAAGAUCAGCCAGGUCACAGUGAGGGUCAAAGGUGAGGCAACACCCGGCCUGCUUCAGCUUGCCCCCCGUGG
rnacentral:lncRNA from 1 species